CCCCCCCCCCCCCCCGAUUUUCAAAAAACACAAAACCCAAAAACACAGGGCCUUAAGUGCAAUGUGAUAUAUUCAUGGUUGUGAAAAUGUUUUAGCUGUAAGUCACUCUGUAUGUACGUUAGCUUCAGGGGACAGUGUGCUACACUCUUAGCACACAUCAUGCCAUGGGGUGAUAAUACCUCGAAGUUCUGGUCCAAUCACUCCAGUGGAGGGAUAGGCUCGAUGUCAUCAUGACAGAUGAUUUAAGUACGAGCUUGAAGUCCCUAAAAAAAAUCAGCUUACGGGGACAUAAUUGCAGUCGUCACUAAGUGUGGUUCCGUAAGCUUGCAGCAGACUGUCCUUUUCCUGUUAAUUUUUAAAAUUAAGCUUAUUUAUAUAACUUAUUUUUGUCAGCCAUUGUUGAGUUGCAUAGAAGGUGAGAUUAUACAUUCCGAGAAUAAUGUUGCAAACUGCACUCGCUGUACAAUUGGAAUGUGACUAUGAUAACCAGCCUUUGGGAAACUUUUAAGGGCACCAGCUUCACAGUAAACACUAGGGAUGUGCCAUCUUAGGCAGGGAUUCGAGAUUCAUGAAUUCUAAUCCCAGUAACCAAAACGGCGAAUUGAAUCUCUCCAAUCCUACAACCACGUUUGUUCCAACAUCCUUCGGACUCCGCUGAAAGCCUCAUUAGCCAACAGGUGUUUUCUCGUUUGUUUGUUUACAUUGCUCUGGACUGAAAGAGUUCAGGCAGGAACUGUUAUUAUUGCAAGUUUAAAAGUGACCUGGUUUUGCUUUUGAUUGUUGCUUAGUUUUAUGGAAACGAUUCAGACUCAAGAAUUUAUGCAUUUCUUUUAGUCGACGAACAACGUGUUAAAUAAAUUAUGUUUAAGAAGAACUAUAUGGGUAUAUUUUCUCCUGAAACUGAAACAAAAUAUUUAAUUUGUUUUUCAUUAAACAACAGUAUCAUAUUCUGCUUCAGAACAUGUUUUCACUAGCAGUGUUUUUUUUUCCUGACUUUAUAAACUCUUUUUAAAGAAAGGAUUCGAAAGAUUCGUGGAUUUGUAGAACCUUCCUUUGAUUCGGAUUCGAAUUCGGAAAAUUUCGGAUUUGUCCCAUCUCUAGUAAUCACCAUGGUGUUCUAGUAGUGUGGUGAUUCCAGAUGCUUUGGAACCCCACACUGUCUUCACGUGCAAGAACACUGAGAUGGUCUAAUCCAGCCUCAUGUCCUGACAUGUCAUAAAACUUUCUUAAAAUGUGAACGUUAUGACAUUUACUACAAACAUGGCACUAGAACUGCAACACUGCACACCUAUGUUGUAGCUCACUGUACAGCCAGUGCAGUUGGCAAAGUCUGGUAAAAAUGUUUGGUCUUUUUUUAAGAAGGUCUUUUAUGUUGUGCAUUGUGGUUUCUACACAUGCUAUUUUGUUAUUUAUGUGCGGGUGCCGAUAAGGCAUACCUACGCUUUCUACUUGCACAAGGCUGCUUACUGUGUGACACAGUAGUUUUCGUUGCUAAAAGGGGCAUUUACCUGUAUGAUGUGUAAAUGUUGAACAUGAACAUGUGGGUCAGAAGGAGCAUUACAGGUAAAUACAAUUUAGACCCCAAUGCAUUUACAAUGCAUGGCAAUUUUAUGCAAUGUAUUUUUACAGUUCUAGGUAGCAGUGUAAAUAUACAAGGUCAAAAUUUAACUCAAUUAGCAUAGCUAGAGCAAAUGCAAAGCUCGUCAGGCACAUACUUUUAACAGUGUCACUGUAAAAUACAGUUGCACACAGUGUUACUUAAGAAUAUUUUUAAGUGAACAUACAGCGACUAGAGUAGUACAUGCGCAGUUGAGUCAUGCUAGGGCUUUAAGAAAAAAAAACAAAAACAGCUGGGUAUAAUUAAACAGCUUACUCGAUAAGGUCCGAUGCUAAUGUAGAAAUGUGUACACAGAGUCUCCCAAGAUAAUGAUACCAAAAAUGAAUAAUGGCAUCUUGUAAAGAGUAGACCGUGCACAGUAAAAAGGCAGAAAAAGAAGGAUACAGUUUAUGAAGCCUCACUACCGGUGGAAUUUUGCAGGGGAAUUUCCUAAAUCAAAUUCCUCUUGGGGGUUUAGAAUUCAUCUGUAUUUUGAGCCAAGCAAUAUCAAGUCGACAACAAUUCAUGGCAUGUCAUCUAUGCCAUAGCUUGGACAGCGUUAUUUCUUUCCUUGUUUUUGGCUCACCUAGUCAGUUGCUUACCUAUAGAUGUCUUAUGGGUGGUUUGCGACUUCCUGUCAAAAUGAUGUAAGGGAAGUUGCAGUGUCAUGUGGAUUUGCGCUUCUGGUCUGUAGUUGUGCUGGGUGGUUUGCAACUUCCUGUCAAAAUGAUGUAAGGGAAGUUGCAAUGUCAUGUAGAUUAACGCUUCUGGUCCAAAGUUGCGCUGGAGCCGUAUAGAGUAAGCAUAUUUUCAACGUAAAACUAAGCGGAUGUUCGGAGCUUAAAUGCACUAACUCUGCAGAAAAGGGACAUAAAAUGUAUCGCAUACCCUUGGAAAAAUGUUAUCAGCAUAAACGAAAAUUUAACUAAGGGGUGUAGGCGCUUGUCACCAAAUGCUGUGCCGUGUACUUAUCACGUUGAAUUGUGCGUGGCUGUGAUAACAUUAUCAACUCAUAAUGUGAACAGAAUAUCACUAAAGUCACAGCUUCGUCCCAAACUAAAAGGAAACGAUUACAUACGUACGUACUAUCCUCAGAGUGCCAAAGAUUGCUGCGUAAAAUACUGCCUCUACAGUUUAUUGUGCCAUAUCUGAAAGGCUGCUCGUUACGUUUGUUAUCGGAAGCGUCAGAUUGACCGUGUUGUAGCAGAACAUUUCCCACAGCAAAAGAUAGAGAUUUUAAAGCGCACACCUAACGAAUCUGAAACAUGCAUGAUUUGUCACGAAAUCUUAUCUUUGUCAUAAGAGAAGUACGUGCGAAGUAUUUGUUAAAGUACCUUACUUCUUUGGGGGGCAGGCGUUCCCAGGCGAACUCAUCUUGGUUGUCGUUAAAGCCAAAUCUUAUAAAGUUUUUUGCUUUGCUCCAAUUGAGCGCAAUUUCGGACCGAAGUUCGAAGACCCAGCAUGCGAAGCACCGCUUCUCAACUUGAAAACCACCCUUUGCAUGUGCUGAAGAACGGUCGAAAUGCAGCAUACUGUUUGCAAUGUGCGAGUGAUGACCUAUCUCAAACUGUGAUGUGAAACACUCUUCAUGCGUCAGUCUCGGAAUAUGCCACUGUGCAGAUUACGUCGAUUUACCGGUCUGCAGUAAUGUGUUGUGUAUGCGUAUGUUGAAUGUAGUGCAGACGUUUCUGAGACAUUUUGUUUCUAGUUUAUUGCACGAUGUGAUAUAUACCUGCUUUUCUGCCUCAGGGCUCUAACUCCAACCCAUGUAAGCCUGAAUAUGGAUCAAUGUGAUCUCAAAUUUUUCUUAUGUGGUGCAUUAUACUUUUCAUUGUUAAGCAUUGUCCCAGUGGCAUAGCCAGAAGGGGAGAGGGGGGGGGUUCAUCCCCUCACCUAAAAAUUGUACCAUUGGUAGUUCAUUUGGGAGAGGGAAGAAUAGGAUAAAUACUCUCCCCCAUGGAAAGUUCCUGGAAGAACCCCUCCCAAAACAUAUUUCUAGCUAUGCUACUGGGUUUUCCUAAUGUGCUGCUGUACUCAUGUCUCCGAACAUGAAUUAUGUAUCAGGAGAGGGUGUGUAUUCCUUGCAGAUGUGAUUAUCUGAUGUUUGUCUUCUGCAGUGCACGCCCAGUAACGUUUAACGUUUGUAUGAAGUGUGUAAAAGAAAAAAAAAAAGAUGAGCUUGAGUUGAGACCAUGCGCUCUAUGCAUUUAAACAGAGGAAAGUAUUCUAAAGCAACAAACAAAUAUGUACUUUACAUUAUGGCUUUGCAUUAUGAAAUGUUUAUCGCCAAUACUCCAGCAUGCAAACAGGCUGUAAAGAAACUAAAAUAUUGAAAUGCUACAGUCCUCCAAAGCAAAGAGCAUAGGGCAAUAUACCAUUGGACUGGUCUCAUUACACUGGAAGCAAGGGUGGAUGCAUGCUCCUGUAGCAUCAAUGCAGGCACAGCUUGGACUGUUUAGACAGGUCAUACUACAUAUAAUGCUUUAAGUGUUGCAGGACAUGGUAUAUGGCACGCUUGAACUUGUCCCUUGCAUUGAACGACUAUGCUCUCUGUGCACAGCCUCUGCUGGGUUCACCGCAGCACCGUUAGCACGAUGCCAUCAGCUGUUAGGAAUUGUCACCUGGCAGUUAACACACUGUAAUUGGGCACAAGGCUUUGUCAUUGGUGAGAGCCAAACCACAUCUCUUAAAUACUGUCACCAAUCAUCCAAGACAGAAAUUACAGAAUUGGUUGAUUGUUGAGAGAAAGCUACAAGAAAGCUACAAGAAAGCAACCAUGCAUCUGGAAAAUUUCUUAUUGGAACCAUUGGUCCAUUGUUUGCAUACAAGUUUUUUUUAAUGUGUCCAGUAACAUUUUAUUUGCAUGCUGAUGAGUGUUAAAGCAGUAAGUAAGCAGUUAUAGUAUGACGAGAUAUUUUACUUCACCCCACGCAUAACAGAGAAGGCCAUGCAAACACGCAGCACAUAUUGACCUUAUUAGUCAAUUAAUCAGUGUAGCAUUGUAAAGGAUUGAUUUUGAUGCGUGUACAAUGCAGCUGCCUUCACAUUCCAUUUUCAUCUAUGCCAACAGCACUCGCAGUGCAAUCACUCUUUCAAUAAUAGUCUGAACACUAAAAAAUUCACGCGAUGCUAAGUGUGAAAACUACAUGCACUCACACAAAUAUAAGCUCCAAGUGCUCAUCCAGCACCAAUACCUCAGAGCAGCUCGGUGCUGCUGAUCAGAUAACGGCAUCGCCUGAUAAGGCACGGAUAGGGGUUGCUGAUACAGUAAUGUAACACCCCCGUCACAUGGGCAGUUUUCAAUAGUCAGUGAAACCAACGGCCAUUGAACCAGAGCCAUGUAUAAAAAAAGGGGAGUACGGCCAUUAAUGGGACCUUCCUAUACCUGGAGCUCCACCCACUUUUUGAGCUCUCUGGCCAAUCACGAGCCAAUACACAGCUAGUUAUUAGUCCCGGGAUAUCCAAGCUAUAUUUCACCUGUAUUCACUAGAUGCCGCCAUUUUUGGUAAACUGGAUUGGAUAGGAUUGGUACGGAUAUUCCCUAGCGACCUACCACCAUAAUGGAUUUUGCAGCCACUUUUAUAGAUGACAUCUGGGUGGAGAGGGGCAUGUCAGGAAUAUGCAGAACAGCUUGCUAGCAGAACUGAUUGGCCGGCAGAUCCGCUUGUUGAAACAGAGUGCCGGUAUUAUACGUAUUUUAACUGUGAAACAUAACAAGAUUGAAUCACGAACGGGCAAAGGUGUGUACAUGAAUAAAAGUCUGCCAUAUUAUACAAAUUUUUAUGCUUCCAUGGCGUUUUUCAAGCUAUUGUCUCAAGAUCGCUGUCUUUACUAGGCCUAACAAGGACGACGAAACAUAUUUUCACGUAAACGUCGACACUACAGCGGAAUUUAAAGGUGGUUUCCAAGAUAACUACAAGAGAAUAUAUCCUUACAGAACAAAAUUAAAGUAAUAUAUGAAAAUUUUUUUUCAUGAAAUUUUCGCUUCGCCGUUCCAAGCUACACCGCCAUUUUCGGGAAAAUUUUGGUGUGGUGGCGGGCCCCAUAGAAAACAGCAGCCAAUGAAAAACGCUCAAGUUUAAUUGACAGGUCGAGCCUUUUUUUUUUUUUAGGCUCCUCCUAAUGGCCAGACUCACUUUUAAUAUGCGGCACUACAACGAACACGUGGCGCCACCACGCGUGUAACGUGGCAAUGUGUCUGAGAGCAUUAAAUCUAAUGCACUUGAGAAGUUGAUACACUUGACUUAAAAUUGCUAAAUAACCCCAUUUGAUACACUUGGUGGCGCUGUACGCAUCUUCAAUGGCCAUUGAUUCCAAUGAUAAUUGAAGACUGCCCGCCCAUGUGACAGGGUUGUACAACCUGACUUGCUCAUGAACCUCAUCGGGCCACCAUGAGUUAAUACUUGCUCUGUGUCCCAUGUUACUCUUUCCAUAAUUAUGCCAAAUACUAACGGUCUUUCAUUCUGCCUUACAUGAUAUGCUACGGAUCACAGUCUUCAACAUUUGUUAGGUGUGAGAGAAGUAAAUAUGUUUGGAUAGAUUUAGUUAUGGUUGUCCUGUGCUGUAGAAUAAGAUUUGUGACAAUGUUUUAUUCUGCUUUGAACACUUGCCUUUUUCAGGACGGUAUCACUCGAAAAAUACUAGCAUGCCCAUGCAGAAUUUUGUUGCACAUUGAUGGGACAUGUGUUGGCGUACGCACAUAUAUACGAAAUGUGCAAUAUUCUCUGUGUAGUACUGUCUCACACAUUUUUUCUCCAAUGUGUGCCGCUAUAUUUACUAGAGAUGAAGCUGAAAUUACUGUGACCUAAUGCUGGUGACAAUGUUUCUUCCAUUUAUGCCUGCUAUUAAAUGCAUUUGCUGUUUUGAUGUUUGUGUACGCAGGUUCCUCUUCAGCAAAAAAAAGAUUACCAAUCAACACAAUUCUGAAAUAAACGCCACAUUUUCAUGUGUGUUGCAUUUCAUACGCAUCAAAACUACCUUGGACCACCUUAGCAUACAAAACCGCUGACAUGGAGGAAAAUGUCCUCAGCACAGACCCAUAGAGAAGCAGCACAGGGACAUGCCCAUCCUUGAUAACCACACAACCUUUUAUUCGUUCGGACGCAACAAAUGUGACGAUUGGAAGGAUGUCAACAAGUGCAGGCAUUCACCCGAAUACAGGCAGUGAGAAGCAUGUGUCAAGUGAAAUUUAUGAAUGAUGCAUACGCACACAAAAAAUGAUGUGUGAUGUUCACACAAAACUCUCCCAAUUUGUUGCUUACUUUCA